rnacentral:rRNA from 1 species
UACGUAGGUGACAAGCGUUGUCCGGAUUUAUUGGGCGUAAAGAGCGUGUAGGCGGUUAGGUAGGUCCGUUGUGAAAACUCGAGGCUCAACCUCGAGACGCCGAUGGAAACCAUCUGACUAGAGUCCGGAAGAGGAGAGUGGAAUUCCUGGUGUAGCGGUGAAAUGCGCAGAUAUCAGGAAGAACACCCGUGGCGAAGGCGGCUCUCUGGGACGGUACUGACGCUGAGACGCGAAGGCCAGGGGAGCAAACGGG